GCGGAAGUAGUUCAGUGGUAGAACGCCUCCUUGCCAAGGAGGAGGUCGCGAGUUCGACCCUCGUCUUCCGCUCCA
rnacentral:tRNA from 1 species